UGGGGAAUAUUGCACAAUGGGCGAAAGCCUGACGCAGCGACGCCGCGUGAGGGAUGACGGCCUUCGGGUUGUAAACCUCUUUCAGUAGGGACGAAGCGCAAGUGACGGUACCUGCAGAAGAAGCACCGGCUAACUACGUGCCAGCAGCCGCGGUAAUACGUAGGGUGCGAGCGUUGUCCGGAAUUACUGGGCGUAAAGAGCUCGUAGGCGGUUUGUCACGUCGUCUGUGAAAUCCUAGGGCUUAACCCUGGACGUGCAGGCGAUACGGGCUGACUUGAGUACUACAGGGGAGACUGGAAUUUCUGGUGUAGCGGUGGAAUGCACAGAUAUCAGGAAGAACACCGAUGGCGAAGGCAGGUCUCUGGGUAGUAACUGACGCUGAGGAGCGAAAGCAUGGGUAGCGAACAGG
rnacentral:rRNA from 1 species